rnacentral:rRNA from 1 species
CAAACCUACGGGGGGCAGCAGUGAGGAAUAUUGGUCAAUGGGCGCGAGCCUGAACCAGCCAAGUCGCGUGAGGGAAGACGGUCCUAUGGAUUGUAAACCUCUUUUGUCGGGGAGCAAAAGACGCCACGCGUGGCGUUCCGAGAGUACCCGAAGAAAAAGCAUCGGCUAACUCCGUGCCAGCAGCCGCGGUAAUACGGAGGAUGCGAGCGUUAUCCGGAUUUAUUGGGUUUAAAGGGUGCGCAGGCGGAAGAUCAAGUCAGCGGUAAAAUUGAGGGGCUCAACCCCUUCCCGCCAUUGAAACUGGC